GACGAACGCUGGCGGCGUGCUUAACACAUGCAAGUCGAACGGAAAGGCCCUGCUUUUGUGGGGUGCUCGAGUGGCGAACGGGUGAGUAACACGUGAGUAACCUGCCCUUGACUUUGGGAUAACUUCAGGAAACUGGGGCUAAUACCGGAUAGGAGCUCCUGCUGCAUGGUGGGGGUUGGAAAGUUUCGGCGGUUGGGGAUGGACUCGCGGCUUAUCAGCUUGUUGGUGGGGUAGUGGCUUACCAAGGCUUUGACGGGUAGCCGGCCUGUGAGGGUGACCGGCCACAUUGGGACUGAGAUACGGCGCAGACUCCUACGGGAGGCAGCAGUGGGGAAUAUUGCGCAAUGGGGGGAAGCCUGAUGCAGCAACGCCGCGUGCGGAAUAACGGCCUUCGGGUUGUAAACCGCUUUCGCCUGUGACGAAGCGUGAGUGACGGUAAUGGGUAAAGAAGCAACGGCUAACUACGUG
rnacentral:rRNA from 1 species